CAAGUACUCUCUCCGUUCAGAAUUACUUGUCGCAGAAAUAGAUGUAUCUAGACGUAUUUUAGUUCUAGACACAUCCAUUUCCAAGAAGUAAUUCCGAACGGAGAGAGUAAUUC
rfam:Triticum aestivum genome assembly, contig: Triticum_aestivum_CS42_TGACv1_scaffold_031563_1BL